rnacentral:ncRNA from 1 species
ACUUCAGGGCAGGGCGAAAUUCCCGACCGGCGGUAAUAGUCCGCGAGCUUUUUAGCUGAAUUGGUGUAAUUCCAAUACCGACAGUUUAAAGUCUGGAUGAUAGAAGUU